AUUGAACGCUGGCGGCAGGCCUAACACAUGCAAGUCGGACGAGUGGCGGACGGGUGAGUAAUGUAUGGGGAUCUGCCUGAUGGAGGGGGAUAACUACUGGAAACGGUAGCUCAUACCGCAUACCAUCAGAUGAACCCAUAUGGGAUUAGCUGGUAGGUAAGGUAACGGCUUACCUAGGCGACGAUCCCUAGCUGGUCUGAGAGGAGGAGCAGCCAAACUGGAACGGAGACACGGCCCAGACUCCUACGGGAGGCAGCAGUGGGGAAUAUUGCACAAUGGGCGCAAGCCUGAUGCAGCCAUGCCGCGUGUAUGAAGAAGGCCUUCGGGUUGUAAAGUACUUUCAGGCGGGAGGCGUUACCGACAGAAGAAGCACCGGCUAACUCCGUGCCAGCCGCCGCGGUAAUUC
rnacentral:rRNA from 1 species